AUCUUCAGAGAUUUAGUUAUUUUUAUAUUUUAUAUUGGAAUUUUUGCGAUAUAAAAUUGUUUUAUCGUUAAUAUUGCAACAUGUUAAGGGAUGCUUGGAAUACUGAAGGAAAAAAAUGGGCUUAUAGCCUUAUUACAACGAUUUGUGUGGACCCUUAUGCAUGUUCAUUAGCGCAUUUGCAAUUAUCCACUUAUAUAGCGUUCUUCUAUAAUAUAUUUAAGGGCAAAUAUAAAAAGACCUCCCUCUCCAAUUUUUUAAAUUUUAAACUUUUUUUUUAUAUUUUGAUAUAAAAUAUAAACCUCCCGCCUCCUGGGAGUUUUUAAAAUUUAGUGAUGAGAAUCAAGAAAUUUAUUUUAUAUGGCCUUAUAGAUUCGAGCGGGGCCACUCGGUUGGGCGGGGUGAGUACGAAGUGGGAAAAUUUUCCUGGGCCCCAAAUUAGAGCGAGAGGGCAUUAAAUAUAAAGAAUUUGUAGAGGAUGGCCAUCAAAUGCACGAAUUGGUAGAAAAAUGUGGAAUGUGUGAAAUUUCGGAAAUAUUUUUCCAUAUUUUUUCCCAAGAAUUACGCCCAAAAUUUGAAAUUUACCUUGCCUCCCAAAUUUCUCUCGGAGGUCCUGUGUUCGAUUGCAGUUUGGAAAAGCAUGUGCGAGUGAGUGUCUCAAAGACGAUCAAGGACGAGUACAAUUUGAAGUCUUUGAAAAACUCACUAGUGUUUGUUUGUCCCAAUUGCAUGGACGAGAAACC